rnacentral:rRNA from 1 species
GAGCUCCUACGGGAGGCAGCAGUGGGGAAUUUUGCGCAAUGGGGGAAACCCUGACGCAGCAACGCCGCGUGAGUGACGAAGGUCUUCGGAUUGUAAAACUCUGUUCUUGGUGAAGAUAAUGACGGUAGCCAAGGAGAAAGCUCCGGCUAACUACGUGCCAGCAGCCGCGGUAAUACGUAGGGAGCGAGCGUUGUCCGGAAUUACUGGGUGUAAAGGGUGCGUAGGCGGCCUUGCAAGUCAGGCGUGAAAACCAUGGGCUCAACCCGUGGACUGCGUUUGAAACUGUAAGGCUUGAGUGAAGUAGG